AAAUUGAAGAGUUUGAUCAUGGCUCAGAUUGAACGCUGGCGGCAGGCCUAACACAUGCAAGUCGAACGGUAACAGGAAGCAGCUUGCUGCUUCGCUGACGAGUGGCGGACGGGUGAGUAAUGUCUGGGAAACUGCCUGAUGGAGGGGGAUAACUACUGGAAACGGUGGCUAAUACCGCAUAACGUCGCAAGACCAAAGAGGGGGACCUUCGGGCCUCUUGCCAUCAGAUGUGCCCAGAUGGGAUUAGCUAGUUGGUGAGGUAACGGCUCACCAAGGCGACGAUCCCUAGCUGGUCUGAGAGGAUGACCAGCCACACUGGAACUGAGACACGGUCCAGACUCCUACGGGAGGCAGCAGUGGGGAAUAUUGCACAAUGGGCGCAAGCCUGAUGCAGCCAUGCCGCGUGUAUGAAGAAGGCCUUCGGGUUGUAAAGUACUUUCAGCGGGGAGGAAGGUGUUGUGGUUAAUAACCGCAGCAAUUGACGUUACCCGCAGAAGAAGCACCGGCUAACUCCGUGCCAGCAGCCGCGGUAAUACGGAGGGUGCAAGCGUUAAUCGGAAUUACUGGGCGUAAAGCGCACGCAGGCGGUCUGUCAAGUCGGAUGUGAAAUCCCCGGGCUCAACCUGGGAACUGCAUUCGAAACUGGCAGGCUUGAGUCUUGUAGGGGGGGGUAGAAUUCCAGGUGUAGCGGUGAAAUGCGUAGAGAUCUGGAGGAAUACCGGUGGCGAAGGCGGCCCCCUGGACAAAGACUGACGCUCAGGUGCGAAAGCGUGGGGAGCAAACAGGAUUAGAUACCCUGGUAGUCCACGCCGUAAACGAUGUCUACUUGGAGGUUGUGCCCUUGAGGCGUGGCUUCCGGAGCUAACGCGUUAAGUAGACCGCCUGGGGAGUACGGCCGCAAGGUUAAAACUCAAAUGAAUUGACGGGGGCCCGCACAAGCGGUGGAGCAUGUGGUUUAAUUCGAUGCAACGCGAAGAACCUUACCUGGUCUUGACAUCCACAGAACUUUCCAGAGAUGGAUUGGUGCCUUCGGGAACUGUGAGACAGGUGCUGCAUGGCUGUCGUCAGCUCGUGUUGUGAAAUGUUGGGUUAAGUCCCGCAACGAGCGCAACCCUUAUCCUUUGUUGCCAGCGGUUAGGCCGGGAACUCAAAGGAGACUGCCAGUGAUAAACUGGAGGAAGGUGGGGAUGACGUCAAGUCAUCAUGGCCCUUACGACCAGGGCUACACACGUGCUACAAUGGCGCAUACAAAGAGAAGCGACCUCGCGAGAGCAAGCGGACCUCAUAAAGUGCGUCGUAGUCCGGAUUGGAGUCUGCAACUCGACUCCAUGAAGUCGGAAUCGCUAGUAAUCGUGGAUCAGAAUGCCACGGUGAAUACGUUCCCGGGCCUUGUACACACCGCCCGUCACACCAUGGGAGUGGGUUGCAAAAGAAGUAGGUAGCUUAACCUUCGGGAGGGCGCUUACCACUUUGUGAUUCAUGACUGGGGUGAAGUCGUAACAAGGUAACCGUAGGGGAACCUGCGGUUGGAUCACCUCCUUACCUUAAAGAAGC
rnacentral:rRNA from 1 species